rnacentral:tRNA from 1 species
CGGGGAGUGGCGCAGCCUGGUAGCGCACCUGCUUUGGGAGCAGGCGGUCGCGAGUUCGAAUCUCGCCUCCCCGA